rnacentral:rRNA from 1 species
AUUGAACGCUGGCGGCAGGCCUAACACAUGCAAGUCGAACGGUAACAGGAAGCAGCUUGCUGCUUCGCUGACGAGUGGCGGACGGGUGAGUAAUGUCUGGGAAGCUGCCUGAUGGAGGGGGAUAACUACUGGAAACGGUAGCUAAUACCGCAUAAUGUCGCAAGACCAAAGAGGGGGACCUUCGGGCCUCUUGCCAUCGGAUGUUCCCAGAUGGGAUUAGCUUGUUGGUGGGGUAACGGCUCACCAAGGCGACGAUCCCUAGCUGGUCUGAGAGGAUGACCAGCCACACUGGGACUGAGACACGGUCCAGACUCCUACGGGAGGCAGCAGUGGGGAAUAUUGCACAAUGGGCGCAAGCCUGAUGGAGCCAUGCCGCGUGUAUGAAGAAGGCCUUCGGGUUGUAAAGUACUUUCAGCGGGGAGGAAGGGAGUAAAGUUAAUACCUUUGCUCAUUGGCGUUACCCGCAGAAGAAGCCACGGCUAACUCCGUG